AGGGUUCAAAUUUAACAGACCCUGCAUAAAAACUGAAAAGAGUCUGCAACCAGGUUCAUUAACUAGCUGAAUACCCUUAAAGGCGUAUGCGUUUAUGCUUGGUUUUACCAUCCUACAACCAUUCUGGGUGAAUUAUCCAUCUCUAUUAAAAGUUGGUCCUAUAUAUAUGGGCUAUGGAUGUUUUAUAUCCAUGAAGGCCUUUGUUCCUUCCUUUUUUUGGGUUCAAAUUUAACAGACCCUGCAUAAAAACUGAAAAGAGUCUGCAACCAGGUUCAUUAACUAGCUGAAUACCCUUAAAGGCGUAUGCGUUUAUGCUUGGUUUUACCAUCCUACAACCAUUCUGGGUGAAUUAUCCAUCUCUAUUAAAAGUUGGUCCUAUAUAUAUGGGCUAUGGAUGUUUUAUAUCCAUGAAGGCCUUUGUUCCUUCCUUUUUUUGUGAUACCAUACAGAAGCCCCUGAUGAAGUCGUUCUGACGAAACGCGUUGGGUCGAAUCCGUUACGGUCUCUUAUCUAGUUCAUUAAUACACCCUACAGAAUAUACACCUAUAAGGGUGAGGGUGUUCUUUAAAGGCUUGAACAGAAAACCUAUUGACUGUAUCUGGAUGUUUUUCUUUUAAGAAUGUUUAUAUGAAUGUAUGGAACCUUUUAUCUGUAAAAAAAAUGUUCAUAUGAAUUUAUGGAAUUCUAUAUGUUUUUUAAUAAAAAC